ACCCAGGGCCCAGAGCCAGCCGUGCAGCUGCUGUCAGCCCCCUUGCCGAGGCAACCCUCCCUCGCCUAUGCUUGCUGGAAGCAGAUGGAGCCUGCUGGGCCCCAGGUGAGCGCAGGUGGCUUUGAUUCUCUGACCCCUGAGAAGUGUUACCAGAAGCAGGCUGGAACCUCUGGCGUCCCCCUAGCUGGUGUGUUGUGGGAGGUGCCACUUAGUGCAACUGAUGCCUGAGGGAAAUCUCCACUGGCUUCAGGCCGCUGGUGAUUUUUCUUCUUUGUGGAAAACGUUUUUUCAGCACUUGGUUUUUUGAGACAGGGUCUCACUAUUUCAGUCCUGGCUGUCCGAGAACUCAUUCUGUAGAUCAGGCUAGCCUCAGAUUCAACAGAGAUCCUGAGUAGCAGGAUUAAAGGUUUGCACUGCGAUGGCAUGCCCUUUCAGCUUCUUCUCUGUGUCUUCUCCGGCCCUGCCGUCCUGGGUCCAGUGUGGUCCUUCUUCCUGCUGCGUUCUCUUCCUUUGCUUUUCCUUCUCUCUGCCUUGUCUUCUACUCUGAGCAACAGUAGGAUGUCGGUUUUCUUUUACACGGACUCUCUGUCACAUGAACAGUUUCCUGGCUUCCAACUCAUCACCCUUGGGUCCAGAGCUGGUGGGUCACGGUGCCUGCUCCACCCAGGAGGCUCCAGGGAUCCAGAGUCAGCAGAGGUGACAGCCAGGAUGGCUCUCUACCUGUCAGAUUUGGACACUGGGCCUAAAGAUGCCUGUGAGGCUCAGUCAGUGUCCUGGAAGGGGCAAAUGCCACUAAAAAGAGCAGGUGGAUACACUGAGUGUCAUUAUCCUGGGGCUUAGAUACGCCUCCAGUCUUCGACCGUCCUGUGACUGCACGGGAGUCCAAACAGUACCGCACUGGGGCUGGAAGGGGCAUGUCUGCCACACAACUGCAUGAGGGGCAGUCAGCAGCAUCUACAUAGGAAGACCUCACAGCAGCACCUAGCCCCUAAGUGGCCAAAAGGAGCCAGGCUGGAGCUAAGGAACAUUGUUCCCCCGGCAGACCCAGUGAACGCCUACAGUUGAACUUGAAAAACAUUGUUAAGACUCCCUCAAGCAAUAUUCAAAGUCUGCCCCUCAACACAAAGGAGGAGAGGAGAUAAAACUAGGGACCUACAUGUAGGAAGAAAGUUAUAAAAGUUUUUACCUCCAAAUCAAGAGAUUUAUGAACAAAUGCUUCUACCCAAGAUCCCCCGGGGGAGCACAUGCUAAGCACAUGUGGGCGCCGGCUUUUCCUAUUCUGGUCCCACCGCAUACCCAGAAUAAGCCAGCCUCUGAGAUCCAAGCAGAUGUCCCCUGCGCUUCCAGGCAGGUGUGGCCUGUCCUCAGAGGCCCGGGGGGCUGCACUGUCAACUGUAGCAUGGACACACCGCACUGCUAGGCUGAGACGGUCCCUCCUUGGGCUCCAGAGCACCAGUUCCCAUUUGUUCAUGGGAAGCAGCUGAGCCCCUGAGCAUUAAAACCUCUUGGCAAGUGGCUGGCAAAUGAGACAGCUUUGGUUGCUCCUUUACCGUUUGCUAGAAUUUGCCGUGUGAGGUCUCAGUGAACCUGACCUUCCAGGAGUUUCCCUGUAGUGUGGAACAUAUAGGAACACAGUGCUGGGGCUGGAGAUUCAGCUCAGUGGUUAAGAUCAUUGACUGCUUUUGCAGAGGACCUGGGUUCAAUUCCCAGCACCCACAUAGAAGCUUACAACUGCCUAUAAUUCCAGUUCUGGGAUCUAACACCUUCCUCUGGUCUCUUGUGGACACACAUGCACAUGGCGCUGUGUAUACAUAUGGCCAAGUACUCCUGCAUCUAAAGUAAAAACAACAGAGAGAGAGAGAGCACUGUGCCAGGAGAUCCCUGCUCCCAGGUUCCACAGCGGCAGAGAGGAGGCCCUCACACCUCUUCAGCAAAGCCCUGACAUAAAGGGAGAAGAAGGCUGUCUUGGAAAGGGCCUUGUGUUUUCAGAGACACCAAUCCAGCAUGCCUUUCCAAGGCCAACCAGCUCUCUCCUUGGGAGAGACCCUGUUAGGUCAAGGUGAGCCAUUGACCUUUCAAGAACUGGAGGUUCCACAAGCCACAGGGAAGAUCUCCCCCCCCAACGCCCCCCAACCUGUCAACCGUCACCAUUGGGUCCACUUCUGCUGGAAUGAGGCCCCAUAAAUCCUCAGGCUUGCUAACCACACCACUCCAUGGAACCUCCUGACAUUAACUUGGUUUGUUUCUGGAAGGCCUCAGGCUGCCAUCUUGGUUGCCAUGACAACUGUAGGGGUCAGCUCCUGAACCAGCUGGCUCCUGGCAGAUUGCGUCAUUGUGGAGCUUCAAAGCCUCUUGUCAAGAGACAGCAGAUGUGAGGAUGCUGCUGGCUCUCAGACACACUGCACAAAGACCCCUGGAGCCUGUGGAGGGUGGGUGGUGCUGUGGCAUAGUGGAGACACCUGCCGCGGACUUCUCUUCCUCGGCUCUUAAUACCAAACACUUGCGUGCGAAGCUCUAAACUCCAAGUGAGUGCCCUCUGCAAAUAGCCCUGGGUGUGGGGGGGUGCUUAGGCCAAGAUGUCAUGUGACGACUUCAGAGGAAGGGCAGCAGCUGUGGAUGGCAUAAGGGGCAGAGCUUUUUCACAUACCUGAUACCUGGCUGAUUCUGGACUCUUCAGAGUCAGUCUGCAGAGGACAUGCCCUACCACACCCAGUACCAGGCUGCCCAAGGCUUCUCUCUCUGGACCUCACAACACCUCAGUCAAACCUACACCUGUUACCAGAGCAUUCUUCCCCAAAAAGAAUAAGCCUUGCAUUUGGCAGUGUGCACGUGCCUACAUCUCCCCCACCCCCACUCCUCCAUAUCUGUCCCAGCCCCCCCUCCUGCUGUCAGCUGAGAUUGCCUGUAAGUGGGUGUGGUGACAGAUUGGGUGACUUGAGGUGUCAGAUCUCUGUCUUUGCAUGACUUAUUUUAUCUGAGAGAGGGAAUACCCAGAAGCCUUAAGGUGACAAAUUGAGUUGGUGACUGUAAGAGCUCUCGCCCACCAGAAAGUACAGCGGCUGAUGGCAUGCGCCCUUUGAACGCUAUCAUGCGGCUGUUUCAACUGAAGAGACACUUAGGGGCCGCCAGAUGAGGGAAUUUUGCUGGAGUAAGCCCCACCCACUUAUAUUCUUCCCACUGUCACGCUCCCCCCCCACACCUUGCUUUUCUUCCCAGGAGAAGAAUGCCCCAUGCCCCAUGCUGGAGAUUGUACCUCACAGCUGCCAGGGCCAGUUAUAGCCUCUGGGUGUCAUGAUUCACUUAUCAGUGUCCCCAGAUUGCAGCACAGGGCCUGGCCCAGACUCAGUGUUCACAGAUGUGUAAGGGACAGCUGCUUACGGAGGUGAUAGUGACUACCUUUAUUAAGUGCCUGCCACGUAUCAGGCAAUUUUGUAAUUAGCCCUUAACCUUCCCAGGAACCUCUGAGUAGAUUCUAGUUUGUGUUUUAGAUAUGAGUUCAACUAAGGCUCAGAGAAGUAAAGAAACUCUUCCAAGACCACACAGCUCGUAAAUGAUGAGCUGGGACUUGAGCCCCGUGCCCACCAACAUCUUCUCCUCACCACAUCCAUCUUCACAAGCAAGGGCUCUCAAGAGUGGCACAGCCACAGAGGCCCUGGAAGUCAUGACCCUCUUGGUACAGAAGACACCAGUGAGGUUUGCCGGGACCUGCGUCUGUUGGGUGUCUGCCUGCCUUUCAUAGCAAGAGCUGAGGAGGCCGGAAGAGUUGGUUGGAACCAGCAGGACUGGGGCAUAGCUCAGUGGAAGAGCGCACACUUAGCAGGCAGGAAGCUGGUGUUUGGCCCCUAGCACUGUUUGGCUUAGUUUCAUUUGGUUGGUGGGUAGGUCUGAGGCAUUAGCUUGCUUGAAAAGAGUUGGGGUAUGGUGGUGUGUGUUUGCAACCUCACAGCUGGGAGGCAGAAACAGCUGGCUCCUGGGGCCUCACUGGCCAGCCGGCUUGCUCAGCAUGUUCCCAACCAGAGAGAGACCCUGUCCUAAGAUAGAUGGCUCCUAGGGGUCUGGCACACGCGUGUGUGCAUGUUUCUGUACACACACACACACACACACACACACGGUUGGGGGGACAGAGUUUUACACUCAUCUAAGGUUAUAUAAGUUAAGAAAGGGCCACUUUGCUACCUGGACAGGGAACAGUCUCACACCCUCCUCCGAAUGGCUGGAUUCUCUCCUCUGCCUGCUUCUCUUCCCUGAACCAAGAGCUACAAGUGUGCACACCUUGGUCCCCUCCCGUACCAUCACUGUGAUGUGCAGGACAGAACAAAACCCAAAGCAGAAGCUCCAUGAUUCAGGGCUGGGAUGUGCAGGGGCCUUGGGAUCUGUCCCAUCUGGGGCAGCUGAGUGCAAAGGGGUCUUUUGGAGAGCUGUGUGCAGGGCAGGUGGACGGAAUGGGGCAGAAUGAGGGGGAAGGUCUCACACUCAGGUCUCUAAAGUCGGUUCUACAGGGUGAGAGGGAUAGGAAAGCAGGCAGUGGGCACCAUGGGAGGUGGGGUGGGGUUUUCAAUGAUGCGAAGCUUCUAACCUACCAACGUCUGUAAGCAGGGGUUUCAGAUAUCCUGAUUGCAGGAUAUUUGCUGUGGAAGGCCCUCAUAGAAAAACCAAGAAAACAAAUACAAUAGGCUUAGAAGUUCACCAUAUACAAGGAGAUGCACUGAAGGGCGGGACAAGGUGGUCUAAUAGGAAAAACAGGCCUGCAACCUCUCGAACCCAGGCUCGGUGAUGCCUGCUUUCUUAAUGGCUGCAUGACCUUGGACGAGCCGUCUUCUCCCCUUUGGCACAGUCACAGCACUGAGUGAGAAAGAAAGCAGAAGGAAACAGUGUCCCAGGGCAGGCUGUCGGUGCUCAACCAAGGUGCAGCUUUGUGGUAGGGUAGGAAUGGGUAUUUCAGUUAAGCGCCCUUUCCCUCAGACUGCCCUCCAGUUAGGGACCGAGGAUAAGAGGUCUAGAGGACAUGACAUGCUGAGUGGUAACCACCGCCCCUCCCCUCCUCCCAUCCCCAAACUCUCCCGAGCCCAAUCAUCAGCUUCCCUUCCCGACGGCCCCCACUCUGACUCUGCGACUUGGGUGUUCUCAUCUUCGGCUCCAGCCUGUCUGCCUCCGGCAGCAUAUGCUGAGACUCGGUUCAUUAUUUAUUUCCUCUGACGGUGCCUUUUCCACAAGCUCUGAAACCUCACUGCCUGCCUGAGGAAAGAUGCACAGUUCCUGGCAUUUGCAGUCACCUCACCGCCACCCCUCUCGUAGGUGAGAGAAACUGAGGCCCAGAGAUGUAAACUAGCCUUCCUGGCCAAAAUCACAGAGCUGGCUUCCACCCAGGAGUGUUUGCCCUGGCGCCUGCUUUCAGUCCCUUACCAGAGUGGAGGUGAUACAGGCUUUUUCACAGCAAGCCACUGAGGAGUAAACACAGGCUCAGAGGAGGAUGUUAGUCCUGGUAGAACACGAACUCCACUCUCUAGCCCAGACCUUCUGUGGCAUAAGCAAUCGAGGGCCACGGUUACAAUGUAAAGAAAUACAUCUUUUAAAGUUAGGCUAGGGUAUAAACUCCAGGACAGAACACUUGCCUGGCAUGCUUGAGGCCCAGGUGCUAAAAAAGAAAAAAAAUCAAAGCCAAUGAACUAGGCUAGGUGAAAUGCUAACUCAGCAUGUAAAGACACCCACCUCAAGGCUGGUGACCUGAGUUUGAUCCCUCUCCCCCACGUGGUGGAUGGAGAGACCUGGCUCGUGCAUAUUGUCUUCUGACCUCCGCGUGGUCGCCACAGUCCAUGCAUCUGCAUGCACAUAAGUAAAUGUAACUUAAACAUGAAUUACAAAGUGCAAUAUUCAGGUCAGAGGACUUCAUUCUGGUCAGCACAGAAGGUUGGGAAGCUGUAAGUCUCAGAAAGAAGGUGCUAGACCAGAAGAGAGGUGUGUUGGUGGUUAGUGCUCAUUAAAAUUGCUGCUUCUGGACACACUGGGGCCUGGGUAGGGAGGCAGGUAAGAGGCAGAGUGUCCUUCUCUGGCUCAGCAGCUCUCCUCCCUGAGCCACCACAGCGAGGUCCCCUUACCCUGGUCAUCCCUCUGUCCUGAGGCCCGGUGGAGGCAAGGCCACGGUCGUAAGCACUGAAGUGUGUAUGCGUGCUCAUAGCCCUUAUUUCACAGCACACUGGGGGUAAGAAACAUCCCUCCAAGCCAGCUGCUGAUGGCAAUGACUCAGAGGGCAGAGGUGGGAGGACCUCUGAGUUUGAGGCUAGCCUGGUCUACAGAGUGAGUUCCAGGAUAGCCAGGGCUACACAGAGAAACCCUGUGUUUCUUGGAGAGAGACAGACAGCCACACUGAUGGUGGACCUAAGCCUGGUUCUACAGACUGACUGUCUUAAGCAGCAAAGUACCUCAAGGCCCCAGGCAGCAUUGCCCAGGCUUGGAGACUUAAGGAGCCAAUUAGCAAAUGCCCGCUCUGUACCAACGACCUUCUAUCUCCUCUCCCUUGGCCUUGAAUAUAAGAGAGCAAGCAAUAGGGUUGACCCUGUCCAGACACCAGGGGCUCCCCGACUAGGGAAGUAAGAAGGGUCUCUGACCUAAGGAACCAGGCCCAGAGGGAGGCUCUUCGUUGUGAAUACGCCUUGACACGCCCCUGAGACACGUAUCCUGGACAGGAGUUACCUGUUACAGCCCAGGCUGACUACAGAGACCCAUGGCCAACAUGGGUCUUGGGCCACUUCGAAGUCUUCAGAGAAUCUUAGUAUGCUAUUCCUACAUGAUAGCUUGUCUUCCUCUUAAAGUGCCAGGAGGAAGGGAAUGGGGACAGAAGGCUCUAAGAAGUAAUCGGUAGGAUUCCACACAUUUUUUUUUCUUUUCUGAUUAAAGUGGAUCUCGGUACAUAGAAAGCACCACACUCGGCACCAAGGUUGGAGCCUGAGAUCAUUUACUGAGCACCUACUGAGUUCCAGGUACACUGGAGGUCUGCUCUGCAGAAUGACUGUCAGUGAAGUCAGGGUGCUUUUCCUGUUUAUAGAUGGGACAGCUGAGGCCCUGAGAGACGUGUGCAUGGCAGCCACGGCUCAAGCCCCAGGGGAUGAUUUCUGUCUCCUGUGCCAGCCAGGAAGGCCCAGACUCCCCAGCCCUCACCUCCGGCCUGCCCUGGUUAGUUGUAUUGAGGAACUUCCACUCCAUCUCUAUAGUUAUUCGUUUAUUCAUGUGGACCUUGGGCCCUCCCUGCAGGUCAGGGCGAUGCUGAGUGUCCAGUGGCCUGUCCCCUCUCCUGGCCAUUCUUAGCAUCCCUCCUGCACCAUCUCUAGCUUUAUCUCACAACUGCUGUAUUCAUUUUUUCCCAUGUUGCCCAAGACAUCAUCAGUGGUGAAGGAGGACCAUGACGCCCUCGUGUGGCCCACAGCUUCAUUUCCCAUGUAGGAGCCCUGACCUUCUCAGAAUAAAAGAUGACCAAGAGUGGCAGUUUCCCCAGUGAGUCCCAGUGUGGUAUCUCCUGGUGCUGGUAGCUGCCAUGUCCCUUUGUGUGUCAAUUCCAGGAUACUCCAUGCUUCAAGCCCCUUGCUUGUGCCUGUGACUGUCACCCACCUCACUCUAGUUAGGAUUAAGGAUGGGGAUGAGAUCAACAAUGUCCUUAGGGCUUGUUUCCAUAGCUACAGUGUGAACAUACUGAAAGGGAAUUGUCUGACAUAAAUGGUUCGUAGAUCUUAAAUAAUAUUACUAUAAUCAUACUAUUUCUAUUUUAUUAUCCUUUGUCUUUUAUUGUGCCUAGUUUGAAAACUAAGGAAUUAGUACUACUAUUUUAAAAGUGUACAUUUAAAUAUUAAGUUUGAAGCUAACUAGUUCUGUACACCAGGCUGAGGGAGCACUGUAGUGAAAGCAAGGGUGGGCCCCUAGAAUCUCCUCAGCACUUCAGAUGCCCCCGAGCUCUAUCAAGAUUCCUGUCUUCCUUGCAGCCCACAGAAUCUAGUCCUUCAGACACGCCACAGGAGUGGGUUAGCUGACAUCAGGAGGUAAACCUGGAGGGUUACUGCAGCAUCCCUGGAGCCUCCAGGCUGACAGUGACUUACACUGGGAUGGGGCUCUGGCAUAGCUUACAUGCUCCCUCAGUUUCCCCAAAGGCCGCAUCUUCUUGUGGGCCUCAGUCAUGGGUCAUCUCCCUCUAACCUGGGCCAGCCCAGUGAAAGCAGACCUUAAGACGGUGCCAGGCUUGUGUGAGUCAUAGGAACCCAGGCUCCGAGUUGUGUGUGGAUGAAGGCAGAUGGCAGGGUUAUUUUUUAUUUUUUGCUCCAUUGCACUGAAGUCACAUUUUCCUACCCAAGCUCUAAAAGCAUUCUGUGGUAUAAAAUCUGCCAUCAUCUGACCCACGCUACCGAAAUAAAGCAGCUCACUGCCGUCAUUCUCCCUGAAAAGUGCCUCUGUGUCAUGCGCCAGGACUGGUGGGGAGAGGCCUGGCCUGUUUAAAAACACUUCAUCAUAAUCCCCACAGCGUCCCCCAUCCUCUUAGCUCCCUGGGGGGCUGCUCGGGUUUCUCAGGCUGUUAUUACUGGAAUGUCAGCUGCUCUGCUUCCAGGCCAUCCACACAGACCUGCUCUGUCUUAGGCCUUCGCCGCCUCCGCUUAGCUCAUUUUACGAAAACACCAUUUCAAAGAUAAAUGCCAAUGUGGCCUGCUUUCCUGUCACUGUCUCUGUGUCCUCUGGCUUCCCACCCCUUGGCAUCAAUUGAUCCAUUAGGGCACCACUGCCACCCAGAGUCCUGUGGUGGUUAUGUGUCAUUGAUAUCUGUCUACAGAUGCAUACCCAGAAAGUGUGUGUGUCUUUAAUCCCUGCAUAUGAGAGGCAGAGACAGGUGGAUCUCUGAGUCUGAAGCCGGCUUGAGCUACAUACUAGAUAAUCUGGGCUACCCAGAGAAACCAUGUCUUAAAAACAAAAAAUAAAAUAAAUAUAAUAUAUAUGAAUGUGUAUGUAAGGCAUACAUAAGUUAAGUUGCAAAUGGACUUUCACAAUUUAGCUAGUACAGCUGCUCCUCCAUGUGUGUCGGAGUUACAUUCCAUGUUCUCAUCUUAAAUUGAAAAUAGCAAAAUAAAAAGUAUACUUAGGGCGCUGGGCAUGUAACACAUGCCUUUCAUCCCAACACUUUGAAAGCAGAGGCAGGGGAUCUCUGAGUUCAAGGCCAGCCUGGUUCACGUAGUGAGUUCCAGGACAGCCAGAGCUAUGCAGAGGAUACCCCAUUUAAAUGUGUGUGCGUAUGUGUGUGUGUGUAUAUAUACAAACAAUAUAUAAUUUAUAUAUUAUUUUAUACAUUAAUACAUUGCAAAUUAGGUAUAAGCAUUUAUAUAAUAUUUUAAUGUUAUAUGUAAAUAAAUACAUAGCAAUAUAAUAUUAUGUAUUUAGUAAUAUAAUAUUGUUAGUAUAAUAUUUUAUAUAAUUAUAUGGUAUAAAUAUUUAAUAUACAUAAAUUAUAAUUUUUAGAACAUAUGAUAUAUUUAUAUGGGCUGCAGAGAUAUCUGGGUAGGUAAAGUAAUUGCCCUGUAAAUGAGGGAUCCAGAGUUCAAAUCCCUAGAGCCCAUGUAAAGCUAGGCUCAGUAACACACGCAUCUGUAAUCAGUGGUAGAAUGGGAAGCAGAGACAGGAGAACCCCUGGAAGCUCUGUCUCAGACAAGAGGACUAACAUCCAAGGUUGUCCUCUGGCCUCCAGAUGAGCUGGGUGGCAUACGUGCAUCCACAAUCUUAUACACGAUGUACACAUACACAUUAUACAGACACAAAAAUGUCUUGUAAAAGUAUAGAUUUAAUACAGGUGGCCUACCCAACACUGUGGCUUUGCCCACUUACAUACAUUAGCCUAAUCAUUCAUGUAUUUAUAUAUAUAUAUAUAUGUGUGUGUGUGUGUGUGUGAAUACGUGUGUACACGCGCACACACACAUACGAAUGAAUGAAUAUCCUACAGGCUGUGCUGUGGUCCAGCUAGGCCAACAAUGGCUGUCUACCUUCAGAAAAUCCAAGAAUCCAGUAGUUAUUCAAUCCACAAGACUGGAUGUCCCAGCUGGUCUUCACUAUAUGCUGGAAUUCUAAAGAAUGUGUUAAUGCCCAUGAAGGAAUGGACUUCCCAGCAAGAACAAGAACAAGCAGGCAAAAAGAGGGCUUCCUUCUUCCAUGUUCUGUAUAUAGGCUACCAGCGGAAGGUGUGGCCCAGAUUAAAGGUGGGUCUUCCCACUUCAAAUGAUUUAAUUAAGAAAAAAAAUCCCUCACAGAUGUAGUCAAGUUGACAACCAACAAUAGCCAUCACACCUGUAGUUGGUCAGAGGCACUGAAUAGGAGGUCUGUUUUGCAGUGAAAUGUAAGAACGUGGCCUUCAGUUUACUGAACAUUGUCCUGCAGUGGAGAAAUGGUGGUUACAGACAUGCCUUUGCACCACCGUAAAGCUGGACAAUAGUAAGUCAAAUCUGAGGGGGCCCAGGCAGGGAAGCAAACCCUUGAA